rnacentral:rRNA from 1 species
CGGGUGAGUAACACGUAUCCAACCUGCCGUCUACUCUUGGCCAGCCUUCUGAAAGGAAGAUUAAUCCAGGAUGGCAUCAUGAGUUCACAUGUCCGCAUGAUUAAAGGUAUUUUCCGGUAGACGAUGGGGAUGCGUUCCAUUAGAUAGUAGGCGGGGUAACGGCCCACCUAGUCAACGAUGGAUAGGGGUUCUGAGAGGAAGGUCCCCCACACUGGAACUGAGACACGGUCCAG